AAAGAGAGAGAGAGAGAGAGAGAGAGAGAAGAGAAACGGAACUGAGAAAAAAGAGGGGAAGAGCCGGAGCAACCGAGGGAGGUGGAGGAGACGGCGGCCAGCGAGCGAGCGCCGGAAGGGGAAGAGCUCCACUAGAGCGUGCGGUUGCGAGGAGACGAGGAGAUGUGGCGGAGGCGGCUGGGAGCUUUCCUUCUCCGAUCCCCGCCGUCUUCCUCCUCCACAGCCGCCUCUUCUUGCCAGCAUCGCCGCCACCACCUCCUCCCCCGCGAGGAACCUCCAGCCCUCAAUCGUCUUGCAAGGCUCUUCACGUCCCAAGCUGGAAGUGAUGGUGGCAAUUCCCAGAAGCCGUUCAUUGCUUUCGUCUUAGGGGGUCCUGGCAGUGGCAAAGGAACACAAUGCACCAAGAUUGCUUUAGAUUUCGGAUUUGCCCAUUUGAGCGCUGGUGACCUUCUGCGCCAUGAAAUAGCAUCUGGCAGUGAGAAAGGGGAGUUGAUCGUGGACAUCAUUAAGGAAGGGAGGAUUGUCCCAUCAGAGAUAACCGUGGAACUCAUCAGGAAAGCUAUGGAAGCGAGCAAUGCCAAUAAGGUUCUUAUUGAUGGCUUCCCAAGGUGUGAGGAAAACAGAAUCGCUUUUGAAAGAAUUGUUGGAAGAGAACCAGACAUUGUGGUUUUCUUUGACUGUCCUGAGGAUGAGAUGGUUAAACGCCUUCUAGGCCGUAACCAGGGGCGGGUUGAUGAUAACAUUGAGACAAUCAAGAAGCGUCUUAAGGUGUUUGAGAGUUUGAAUAUUCCUGUUAUUGACUACUAUUCUUCUAGGGGAAAGGUUCGCAAGGUAAGUAAACUAUUUUGUUCUGCACACAGCUAUGCAAACAGGACAACUUCUAUAUCUUACAUUGCUCUGACUCCUUUUGUUGCAAAGCUGAAUGGCAAAGCUUCUUUGUCUAACUGUAAAAUUUCUAUCUGUAUUCCGGAAUCUAUCUAAUGUCAGUGUAUGUACUUAAGAAGAAUAUGAUUAAAGAAGCAUAAAUGGCGGCAUGUGUUGAAACACAAAAGUUAACAGAUAUGACACAGUUCCUUUGAUAACGUCUGCGUUGCUGUAUAACCUCAACUUUCUUUGUUUUGGGGAGAAGUGAAAUCUACAUAUCGGUUAGAUUUUAGAUGAGCAACUGUUGGUGUGAUCAUCCGGGGAACAUCCCUUGCAUAUGUUAAGUCGCUAAAUUGCUGCAAAAGGGAGAUGAACCAGGGAUAUACUUGGUAUAAUGUUUUUCUCUGUAUGUCGACUUGAGGGUAUAGUACGUAUAACACUAGAACUGUUCAACUGCAUGCAGAUAAAUGCCACGGGCACUGCAGAUGAAAUCUUUGAAGCAGUCUGCAAGCUCUUUUCGUCCUUAAGGUUCUGAUGAGGAUACUGUCUUCCAAGGAAUCCCGGGAGUUCGCUUAGGAAUUAUCUGGUAUUUAUUUUUCUUAAAGCCAGUGCUCACUUUGGUGCAGUAAUUGUACAUACACGCUAUGCCUUUACCAAAUAAUACCCACAGAAAUACAUAUGCCUUGUGACACAUCUAACCUGAAGCUCGUCCUGCAGUGCAGGAAUUAUUUGUUCCCUUUUUUCUUCUUCUGAAUUUGUACUGCAACUCCUACAUAUGGUUUGCCGCCCAUGCUCUGUGUUUGUCUUCUUUUUCA